GCCAGCGGCGAUAGCACGUUGAAUACGCACGUUCCUUAAGGAUCACUGAGGUUAAGCAACGUUGCGCGUGGUUAGUAUCCGGAUGGGUGACCAUAUGAGCAAUCGCGUGCUGCCGGAU
rfam:Asian citrus Psyllid, Diaphorina citri - Florida Strain, whole genome shotgun sequence.